rnacentral:rRNA from 1 species
GACGAACGCUGGCGGCGUGCUUAACACAUGCAAGUCGAACGGAAAGGCCCUGCUUGUGUGGGGUGCUCGCGUGGCGAACGGGUGAGUAACACGUGAGUAACCUGCCCUUGACUUUGGGAUAACUUCAGGAAACUGGGGCUAAUACCGGAUAGGAGCUCCUGCUGCAUGGUGGGGGUUGGACAGUUUCGGCGGUUGGGGAUGGACUCGCGGCUUAUCAGCUUGUUGGGGGGGUAGUGGCCUACCAGGGCUUUGACGGGUAGCCGGCCUGGGAGGGUGACCGGCCCCAUUCGCAUUGGGGUGCGGCCCAUGCGCCAUCGUGGGGCAGCGGUGGGGACUAUUGCACACUGGGCGGCAGCCUGGUGCAGCAUCGCCGCGUGCUGGAUGACGGCCUGCGGGGUGUAAACGGCUUUCGCCUGUGACGAGGCGUGUGUGCCUUUACUGGGUAAUGAGGCACCGGCUACCUCCUU